GAUCAUGGCUCAGGAUGAACGCUAGCUACAGGCUUAACACAUGCAAGUCGAGGGGCAUCAGGGUGUAGCAAUACACCGCUGGCGACCGGCGCACGGGCGAGUAACACGUAUCCAACCUGCCCUUUACUCGGGGAUAGCCUUUCGAAAGAAAGAUUAAUACCCGAUGGCAUAACAUGACCUCCUGGUUUUGUUAUUAAAGAAUUUCGGUAGAGGAUGGGGAUGCGUUCCAUUAGGCAGUUGGCGGGUAACGG
rnacentral:rRNA from 1 species